UCAGUCAUUGAGAUGUUUCAUACCCAGUAGAAUCUGGGGUGGAUAUUUGCUUUUGUGAAUGGCCUUCACAUUAGGAAGUGCAUUUAGGAAAAUCGGGUAUUGCAUUUUCAUGGUUAUUUGAGCUCAAAGAUUUUAUUCCUUUAUUGGCCAGAUCAUUUGGUACAAAGAUCAACUAGAAAGAAAGUUUCAUGUAUUGAGUUUUUGGGAAGGGCUGUUUUAAAUACUGUUAAGACGACUGAUUUAUCUUUCUUUACUUAGUAGGGGGAGGUAGGAGGGGCAUACCAGAAUUCAGAAGUGCGACCACCAUAACCACUUCACUUUUCAAUUUAUUUUUCAGUUCUAGGAUAUAUAAGCAGACAAGGAGGGUCUCUAGGAACCAUAGGAGUUUAAUCCACGUGAGCCAUCAGCCUGAUUUACAGCUUCCUGCCCUGCAGCCUGUUCUUCCCUAAACCCUGGGUGGACUAUAGUAACCUAGUUGGUUGAAACCAGCUCCUGACAGACCCUGGCAACUUAGAGAUGAACCCUGGUGAAUCUUCCUCAUGACUGUAACGUCUCCAUCCUGGAGGAACUGUAGUUCCGUUAUCAUAACAUGUAACCCAUGUGUUGCCAUGAUGACACUGUGUCUGCACCGCUGGGACCCCUCAUCUACAUGCGAUAAUGCACCCUCUCCCCUCUCCAUCACCCCAUAAAACCCUCCUGCCACUUUCCCUCAGGGAGACACUGCUUUGGAGAAUACACCCAGUGCUCCCCUUACUUGAGCCAAGUAAUAAAACUCCUAUUGAUCAAAAUCUGCAUUCUCGUGGAGAGUCGUUUGUUGCUUGACAGGUGAAUGAACGCUGUUUGUUUUUUUCGGAUAACAAAUAUGAGGUAUUAAACAAACAAACAAAAAACCCCAGACUUGAAGCUUUCCCAUAAUAACAACAAAGAGUUUGAGUAAGAAUUCCACAGCUUGCCUUCAUCUGUGGCAGACUUGCAUGAAUCAUUUUCAAAUAAAGAUAAUAACUCAGUUGGUCUUGUAGUCCAAACAAAAUGUGCUACUUCAGGAACAUUCACUUCCUAUGUGGACUUUGCUGCUGAGUCAGUGUGAGACCUUGAACAAGUCUCUGUUUGUUUCGUACCAUUCAGAUUUCCUCGUCUGUAAACAUUAAGUAUCUACAUUCACUAAAAGUAGUUCUGAAUGAAUGUUAUUUAAUGGUGCCAAUGAUGUUGGAGGAUACCUGUGGAAACCUGGAUUAGAAGCAUGUGCUGCUCUCAGACCUGGCCUACAGAGAAGAACUGACACAGACUUCCUUAGAUGUGUUGUCUUCCUGUCACUGGUGCAUUCCUUAUCAAUGUGCAGCUAAAUAAGCACUGGCCUGGAGAUAAGCACUAGUGAAAGAAUUUGCAGCUCAUCCACUGCUGGACCCUGAUUAAGUGACCCCCUGUUCCACAAGCCAUGACUCCAGCUUUGACUGGACAAGAGACUGAUUUCAGUAGCUUUUUUUCAUAUAAGAAGACCAUUGACUGUGGAAUGAUUCCAGAGGCUGCACACUGUCAGGACUUCAUGUCCUGAAAAGACCUUUUGACAUGUACGGCCUGAUUGCAAUGCAUUUGAAUGUUGUCUCCACCCUAAAGUGAACAUGGAUCAUAUGUUACAUGCACGUUUGUUCAAUGCCCAUGUGGCAAGACCCCUUGAUGAAUAUUCGUAACUCCUCCUGUAACCUGUUGAAUAUGUAUGUCCUACCCCAACCCCUCCUCCUUCAUGGUGCCUGUCUUUGGUCUUGACUAGAGGCCAACCUGCAGGUUGGCCACCUGGCAGGCUGUAACCCUAAGAAAUAAAAACUUCUUUUCUCCUUUUCAAAAUGUAUAAAUUGUGAUUUCUAUUAAGUCAACAAUGUCCAGGAAUAAUGUUAUUCUUGAGACAGUUUUAUGAUCUGAGCUUUGUUCAAAAACUGGAAAAGUUACAAAGUAAAACCAUAAUUUUCUUUAGUGGGUUAACUGUGUGCCAAUUUAAAUUUAAUUUUUUCAGCUGUGUUGAGGAAAAAUUUAUGCCUCCGAAGCUGCACAUGUAGAAAUUUCACAAUUUGAAGAAUUUUCACAUAUGUAUGCUGGGUGAAACCACACCAUAAUCAAGAUACCCAACAUUUCUACCUUCCCCAAAAGUUUCUUCACACCGUUGUGCAUUCAUCUCUUCAUUCAACCCUUUCUCUGCAAUCAAUGGUUUACUUCUCGUCAGUAUGGAUUAAUUUGCAAUUUCAAGAAUGUUGUAUAAAUGAAAUUAUAGAGCAGUACGUUUUUGUCUGAUUUUAUUCACUCACAGAAUUAUUUCAAGAUCCAUCCAUAUUGUUGCAUGAUUCAGAAGGCUGCUCUUUUUAUAUUGCUGAGUAGUUUUCAAUGGAAUAUACUACAUUUUGUAUAUCCAUAAGCCUAUCAUGUGCAUUUUGGAAUGUUUCCAUUUUUUUGGUAAUUGCAAAUAAAACUGCAAUGAACACUCAUGUAUAAGUCUUUGUAUAGACAUGUAUGGCUUUCUU
rnacentral:lncRNA from 1 species